AGGAGGCCGAUCCCCUCGAAGUGAUCAUCUCCUUUUCUCCGCUUCCUUCUAUGAUAAAACCCUAGGGUCUUAUCACAUAGUUAUUUCUACAGUUUGCUCUACAAAACUUUUAUUAGCCACUACUCUAUAAAGAACUAAUUCACUCCGAAACUCAAAUAUAUUUUUUUCUCAUAAAUUUUCCUUUUAUUUUUUCUCUUGAUAUCGUGCAAAAUUGUACAUUCUGUCUAUCUUCUUGAAUGGCUGUACAAUUAUGCUUAUGAGCAUUGAUCAAAUAAUGCCCAGUCGCUUUUCCAUGUUUCUUUUUUUCUCGAGAUGGUACCGUAUGAUAAAGAACCUGAAGAGACUUGAUAGUAGACAACAUUAAAGAAAUUGUUGAUGAAACAGAGUGGUUGUUCUUGUCUCACUAGAAGGUAAAAAAUAUCAGUUGACUCCUUUGAUUGAAUAAUCAUCCUAGACUCUAUUUAGAAGAACCCAAGUUAACAUCUACUUUUUUUACCUUCCCCUUCCCUUUGUGAUCAUUGAAUUCGUCUCAUUCUCAAGACAAAUAAUCUGCAAGAUUUUGUUAUUUCACUAAAAUAAGUAACAACUUUUUUGUCAACCUGUACCUAGCGUCAAAUCUGCAACAUCUCAACAACUUCUACCUGCUUAAUACCGACUCCCAUACACAUGUUACAAUAGAGCUGUGAUGCCCACAUUGUACUAACUCCACCAAUGUGAUAGUUCUUUUAGGGGCUUAGUGACUUACAUUUCACCAGCGUUUGAUUAAUUAUCAGACAAAGGCCACAAUGAAUGCAGCCCAACUAACUCCACUAGAUGCAUUAGCACACAUCAUUGCAAGUGACUAUAUAAAGUUGUUCAGGAUCUAUAUAUGAACAUGCAAGAGUAUCCCUUCCUGUGAAUUCUUCCUCUUGUGGUUUUUUUUUUCUGGGGUUGUAGAGCAGUGCUGAGGUUUUAAGCAUGAGAGGGAAAGAUGGUGUUGGCGCUGUAGCAGAGCUGAUGUCUGAUAUAUGGAGCCUGUUACCUGAGCCACAGGGGGAGGAGGCAAGUAAAGAUGAUAUGCUCUUUCGGGAUGACACUGAGGGUCAAGGGAUGGAAUUCGUGAAAGAAGAUACUGGAGCAGUAAUGCAGUCACUGCACCUGAAGGCCAUCGGCGCAAUGCUAAUAAACACUGCCACUACUAUCCACCGCUCACCGGAGGCUCUCAACUUUAAGCUGAAGCUCGAUGCCCCUUCGUAGUCCUGCCGGCUUGUCUGCACGUGCCCAUCAACAACUCCUACAUAUCGGUCCAAGUUAGUACAUCAACUUUGUUCCUGCAUAACUUGUCAUCGCUCUGAAGAUGCCAAAUCACUGCCAUUUUGGUCUCUGCUUACUAUAUUUUGUCAACGAAGAUAGCAGUUGCAAUAGCAUAUCGAGCCUGCAUUGGAAUUCUUUGUUCUUUGGAAUUUUUUUGUUCUUGGGAACUAAACGGGGAGAAGUAUCAUUUGCGUACUCUUGUCUUUGUUUCUGCUGGUGGUCCCUCUUAGUCGGUUGUAGAAAAUUUAAGGUCACAGAUCUGUGUAUUAUAGACUGUUCUACAUUAUGCAAUUGGAGAGGAAUUCUGUUUGGUUC